CAGUGUAUAAAUAAAAUAAGUGCUGUGGUUUUGCGACUAUUUUUUGAACGCUCACCCGUGUAGUUUGGAACUGACAGCAAAAGUUUAUUCUUGAAAAACGUAGAAAUAAGAAUGGACGCUUCGACAAGUGCCUGUGUCAAUUAUUAAAGUCGGAAAUUGGUACCAUUAAUUAAAUUGAAUGAAGUGAAAAUACGAUGUUGAUUGCUCUCAGUACUACGUACAUCUGAUAUACUGUAUAGCUAUAUAUCGGAAAUGGAAAAGAUACGGAUACUCGCGCAGACAAAAUAAUCGCGUCUAUCGUCUGGCUGCUAGCAGUAACGCGUCGCCACCGUAAUAUCGUGGCACCGUGCAUUGGCAGACCAUCACGUCACCCUUUAAUGCAGACACGCGACGCGAGACGCAGGCACGGCGGCGACGUGCAGCGGCAACGGCUGUCGCAGUCGUCAGUAAAGAGGUCCACCUACCCUGUAUCAUUAUUGUUCUCAGCAACAACAAUCUUGUACGUCACGAAAUGCGUUCUUAGAGCCAGAAGUCACUUCUCGGCGAUGCUGUUGAUCGUUUUACUUUGAGAAGUUUUGAAAAUGUAUUGAAAUAUAAUUUCAAUAAUUUCCUGUUAUAAACAAAAUUGCUGCAUAAAUAAACUUAUAUUAUUCAAAUAAGCAGCUUUUUUGAUAUCUAAUAUUUAUUAAAAGCACAGCUGAAUCUUGAGAUAUUAAUAUGUUUAUAAGAAGACUUUCUGAAAAUUGAAAACUAUUUAAAGCCUUGAUUACUUAUUAAGUAAAUAAUUCAUAUUAAAAUGAAUAUAAAAUUUCAAGUUCAUUGAAAAAGAAAGGAAUUCGUCAUGGACAAUGAUUAUGAUUAUGAGAUCUGUAAUUUUAUUAGAAAGGGAAAAUUAGAUAAAGUGAAAAAGACUAUUGCAUUAGUUGGAUUAUCAUAUUCAAAAACAUGGCAAAGUGGAUACAUGCUGCUAUACUGGUCUCUAUGUUAUCAUCACACAAACAUAGCAAAAUGGCUUCUUACACAAAAUUGUCAAGUCAAUCCAGAGAAUCAAAGGUUUACACAGAAGACAGUUCUACAUUUAGCCAUUUGUUUAGGAAAAGUUGAAAUUGUCAAGAUGCUUUUGAAAAAAGGAGCUUCAGUUACUGUUUGCAAUGAUCGUUUGGAGACACCUUUACAUGUAAGUUGCAAGAAACGAAAGCCAGAGGUAUUAUUGAAAAAUGACAUGGUAAACAUAAUCAAAUUGCUUUUAAAACAUGGAGCACCAGUAAAUGCCAAAGGUGGUUUAUGCAAUGAAACACCUCUACUGUUUGCUAUGAAAAAUAAAUACCAAUGUGAAAAGAUUGUAAAAUUACUUUUGAGUAAUGGAGCAAAUGUUAAUGAUUAUGAUAUGUAUCGCAAAACAGCUCUUCAUAUUGCUGUAGAAAAUGGAGAUAAAAAGAUGAUCAAACUUCUUCUUGAGCACAAGGCAGAUGUCAAUGUCAAAAAUUGUAAUGGUCACACACCACUGCAUAUAGCUGUUCGAAGACAAAGUGCCGAUAUUACCAAAAUGCUGUUAUUUAGUGGAGCUGAUGUAAACGACAUGGUUUAUGGUUUUGAUGAGUACCGUUGGACAGCUUUACAUAUAGCAGUGAAGAAUAAGGAUGAAAAGAUCAUUAAAAUGUUGUUAGAAUUCAAAGCAAAUGUUAAUGCUAAAGAAGACCAUUACAGAACUCCUUUACACAUUGCUUCUGUCAGUCAUUGCCCAGAAAUAGCAAGAAUACUUUUAGCAUCUGGAGCUGAUGUAAAUGAUGCUGAUAAGCAAGGUCAGAUACCAUUUCAUCUCGCGAUUCGAAUUGAAGAUGAAAAAAUGGUUGAAUUUUUAUUGGAGCAUAAUGCCAAUAUUCAUGCAAAACGCAAAGAUGGCAAAAGUUGUUUGCAUUUCGCUGCCGAGAAUCGUUCUGCGAUUAUCGCUAAAAUUUUGUUAAAUAGAGGCGCUAAUAUAAACGAUAGAACUUUAGACGGUCACACAGUACUUCAUUUUGCCGCGAAAAAAGGAUCUAUGGAAUUAGUUGCUUUGUUUUUAAAGUUAGGUAUGGACGUCGAUGUUAAAACUAAUGUUGAUAAUUUUACGCCGCUGUAUUAUGCUGUUAAAAAACGUCAUUAUCAAGUAGCUGAAUAUUUGUUGUAUCAUGGAGCUGAUCUUAAUAUUUCUAUUAAAGUUUAUCAAACUUUGCUUAGACUUGCUGUUUAUGAUAUGAAUAAAGAUAUGGUUGAGUUGCUGUUGAAUUGGAAUGCAAACAUUAAUGCAGAAGACAAAGACGACGAAACUCCCUUACUCAUAGCCACAGAUAGUCCACGUUAUGAAGAUCUACCAGGAUGUGAAAAAAUGCAUCAAAUAACUGAUAGCCUUAUCAUGUAUAUUGCUAAACAGGUAUCUGAGAAUAGACAUGUGAGUGAACAAAAUUUAAUUUUGAUUGAGCAACAAUGGCGCCUACAAUUGUUUUUUGAACAAUGCUUAAUAGAGCUUAUUAAUAUGAAAAGUAAAAAAAUGUAUGAGAAUAUAUCUUAUUAUGAUAUAUUGACUAAGAGUACAAAUGCAAUGGUUUCUUAUGCAAGGAAUAAAAAUAUAGCAAGUGCCUUUGAGUCCAGUGAUUACACAAAUGCCUUCCCAAUAUAUUCUUCAAUGAUGCAGGAAAACUAUGAAAGAGGAAAAGUCAAGAAACAAUUACUGGAAGUCGGCAUGAUUGCCUUGAAAUUUCUCUUUAAGAAUAACGAAGAAUUACAAGUGCCAGUUGAGUUGCCUUAUGUAGUUAGUAGAGAAAUUCUAAGUUACUUAAAUUUAAAGGAUUUGAGGAUUUUAUCUGCAGUUUACCAAAAAUCGCCAAUUAAGAUUAGCAGAUGAUUAAUGCAAACAUUUGUAAUUUUAUAUUGAUUAUUAUUAUUUCUCUUUAGUUAUAAUGUAAAAAAUCAAACGUUAUAAAAGUUUAAAAUUUUAGAAAAAUUUGUAAGCAUUUAGAUAAAUGUAACUUGAAAAAUGAAGUUUAUAUGUAUUGUGAUAUAAAAUUAAUUUCUUUCUUACAUAAAAAGUUAAUUUUUCUAAUCAUAUUUAGGAAUAGUACAUUACGAUAUAAGUGCCGGAAAGUAGAUUUCCGGUUUGCGUCGUGGUGACGCCCGAGCGAAACGAGGAUGAAAAGACACGAGAUGAGGAAUUUUUUUCCGAACAUGUGAUGUACCGUAUUUUUUUUACGACGUGUGAAAAGUACGAUUUUCAACGCACGUUUUUGAUCGAGCAUGCAGAAAGUACAUGCUUUUUGCACAGAGUGUCAGAAAUAUUAUUUUAAUAUUUUAAGCUCAACUGUGCAUAAGGCAAAAUAUUUCAAUUUACUUUUUAAAGUAAGAAUGACUGUCAAACCCAAUAUAACACUAUUUUAUAAGAUUUAAAAAAAUUUAACUAAUUGUAUGAUAAUCGUUAAAUUUGCUGUUAUUAGUGUUAUUACCAUAGAUAUUACUGCUUUUCUAACACGUAUUUAUUCACGCGUUAUUAUACAUAAAGCAUUAUUGAAUAAAUUAAGAAAAAUAUAUUUUCUGUUGAUUAUGAUAGAUGUAAGCUUUGUAUAAAUGUAAAAAUUCUAAUUUAUUUAACUGUUGUUGACGAAAUUAGAUAAUUUUUAGUAUUUUAGAAUGCCUAUAUAUUCAACUCAAAAAUUUUUGUCUAUUUUCUAAUGGGUUGCUAUAGCAACGCAUAGUGCGUUGUGUCAAAACAAAACAUGUAGAUGAUGUAUGAUCGUAAUGUGUAAAGAAAAUACAAUUGAAUAUAUAUUCAAAUAAUAAUGAGUACUUUUAUACAUAAUAUACAAAUUAAAGAUGGCGAAUAUACUAAAAUAAUAUAUAUGAUGGUAAUAUUUUUUGAGAACAUUUGUAACAUAGUACAAAAAAAACUACUUAAUUCAAACAAUUGUUUAUUUUUCUGUAGAUCAAAGAGCAGCGAUAUAUCGAAACAAUUCAUGUAUUGACUGUACUUUUUGAUUCCUAUUCGAACUCUCAACCGUGCCUAUCUCUCUUAGCCUACUGUUACUUUUAUACUCAAGAUUUUUUAGCAGCAGCAAGUUGUUACGAGAAGC